rnacentral:rRNA from 1 species
GAACCUGCGGAGGGAUCAUUACCGAGUUAUUCAACUCAUCAACCCUGUGAACAUACCUAAACGUUGCUUCGGCGGGAACAGACGGCCCCGUGAAACGGGCCGCCCCCGCCAGAGGACCCCUAACUCUGUUUCUAUAAUGUUUCUUCUGAGUAAAACAAGCAAAUAAAUUAAAACUUUCAACAACGGAUCUCUUGGCUCUGGCAUCGAUGAAGAACGCAGCGAAAUGCGAUAAGUAAUGUGAAUUGCAGAAUUCAGUGAAUCAUCGAAUCUUUGAACGCACAUUGCGCCCGCCAGUAUUCUGGCGGGCAUGCCUGUUCGAGCGUCAUUACAACCCUCAGGCCCCCGGGCCUGGCGUUGGGGAUCGGCGGAGCCCCCCGUGGGCACACGCCGUCCCCCAAAUACAGUGGCGGUCCCGCCGCAGCUUCCAUCGCGUAGUAGCUAACACCUCGCGACUGGAGAGCGGCGCGGCCACGCCGUAAAACACCCAACUCUUCUGAAGUUGACCUCGAAUCAGGUAGGAAUACCCGCUGAACUUAAGCAUAUCAAUAAGCGGAGGAA